UGGUCUAUGCCAAUUUACAGUGGAGACCUGGGUUCAAUCCUGGCUUAGGAAAAAGGUUUAAACAAGUUGUGGAAGGUUUGUAAAAUUAAUCUUGCACAAGAAAUUCUUUACGUGAACAUACAGUUAUAAAAGGUUUAUAAGAAUCUCACCUCAUGGUCAAACUGGUUAAGAUUAGACAGAAUUAUCUAUAAUGUUUUAUUUUUUUAAAACUGAGGUUGACAUU
rnacentral:lncRNA from 1 species